rnacentral:rRNA from 1 species
AACGAACGCUGGCGGUAUGCCUAACACAUGCAAGUCGCACGAGAAAGUACUUCGGUAUGAGUAGAGUGGCGCACGGGUGAGUAACACGUAGGUGACCUUCCGAAUAGUGGGGGAUAACUCGGAGAAAUCCGGGCUAAUACCGCAUAUGUACGACAAAUCUGAGAGUAGUCGUAGAAAGAAUGCCUCUACUUGUAAGCAUUCGCUAAUCGAUGGGCCUGCGGAGCAUUAGCUUGUUGGUGGGGUAAUGGCCUACCAAGGCUACGAUGCUUAACGGAUCUGAGAGGAUGAUCCGUCACACUGGAACUGAGACACGGUCCAGACUCCUACGGGAGGCAGCAGUGGGGAAUAUUGCGCAAUGGACGCAAGUCUGACGCAGCAAUACCGCGUGAGUGAGGAAGGCCUCGGUUGUAAG